AUAAGAUCCGUAGUCGAAAGGGAAACAGCCCAGACCACCAGUUAAGGUCCCCAAAUAUAUGUUAAGUGGAAAAGGAUGUGGGGUUGCUUAGACAACCAGGAUGUUGGCUUAGAAGCAGCCACCAUUGAAAGAGUGCGUAAUAGCUCACUGGUCGAGUGACCCCGCGCCGAAAAUGUACCGGGGCUAAACAUAUUACCGAAACUGUGGAUGAACCUCUUUAGAGGUUCGUGGUAGGAGAGCGUUCUAAGGGCGGUGAAGUCAGACCGGAAGGACUGGUGGAGCGCUUAGAAGUGAGAAUGCCGGUAUGAGUAGCGAAAGAAGGGUGAGAAUCCCUUCCACCGAAUAUCUAAGGUUUCCUGAGGAAGGCUCGUCCGCUCAGGGUUAGUCGGGACCUAAGCCGAGGCCGAUAGGCGUAGGCGAUGGACAACAGGUAGAGAUUCCUGUACCAGUGCUAAUUGUUUAACCGAUGGGGUGACACAGAAGGAUAGGGAAUCGCACGAAUGGAAAUGUGCGUCCAAGCAGUGAGUGUGAGAA
rnacentral:rRNA from 1 species